UUAAGUUCAGCGGGUAUCCCUACCUGAUCCGAGGUCAAUCUUGAGAAGAUUUGGGGUUAGAGCGGGCGCGCGUGGAGCACCUGUAACGAGAGGUUUACUACGUUCAGGGCCCCGCGGCGCCGCCGCUGAUUUUGGAGCCGGCCAUCGCUGACCUGGGCUCAACACCAAGCGGAGCUUGAGGGGUGAGAUGACGCUCGAAC
rnacentral:misc_RNA from 1 species